rnacentral:rRNA from 2 species
GCAUAUCAAUAAGCGGAGGAAAAGAAACCAACAGGGAUUGCCUCAGUAACGGCGAGUGAAGCGGCAACAGCUCAAAUUUGAAAUCUGGCCUCUCGGGGUCCGAGUUGUAAUUUGUAGAGGAUGUUUUGGGUACCGCCCCGGUUUAAAUUUCUUGGAACAGAAUGUCAGAGAGGGUGAGAAUCCCGUCUUGGACCGGUGGUAGGGCCUGUGUAAAACUCCUUCGACGAGUCGAGUUGUUUGGGAAUGCAGCUCAAAAUGGGUGGUAAAUUUCAUCUAAAGCUAAAUAUUGGCCAGAGACCGAUAGCGCACAAGUAGAGUGAUCGAAAGAUGAAAAGAACUUUGAAAAGAGAGUUAAACAGUAUGUGAAAUUGUUGAAAGGGAAGCGCUUGCAACCAGACUUGAGCGCGACGGUUCCCCUAGCCUUUUGGCUAGGUUACUCCGUCGUGUCCAGGCCAACAUCGGUUCUGAGGGUCGGUCAAAGGCCCCGGGAAUGUACCUACCCACGGGUAGACUUAUAGACCGGGGUGUCAUGCGGCCUCUCGGGACCGAGGAACGCGCUUCGGCUCGGAUGUUGGCGUAAUGGUUGUCAGCGACCCGUCUUGAAACACGGACC